rnacentral:misc_RNA from 1 species
GCGCGGCUCUCGCUGUACCAGUUCUCAUCCAGCUAUGGCAGGGGUAGUGCGUUACUAGCUUAGCUCCAGCUUUUGUGUGCAAUAAUGGAGACUUCAUCCUAUAAUUAUGCUGUUGCUGGAGGAAAACUUAUAACUGAUCUCAAAGUCGUUGAACUUAAAGCAGAGCUUGAAGCGAGAGGACUUAACAAAUAUGGAAACAAAAGAGAAUUGUUAGAGAGAUUACGCGCGUACCUGGCAGCUGAAGGAAACCAGACUACUACACCACCAAGCAAUUCAAGGAGUUUGGAAGUCCCCAAUCCCUGGUUGCAUCAAGAGGCCAACCUUGAAAACGACUUCAUCCGAGAGUAUCUGAAGUCACAGCAAGCUCUUUUCAGGCAGCAAAUUGGGGGAGCUCCCGCAGAUCUCACUCCUUCAUCCGGCCCAACAGCAGAACGUCUCGCAGCAGCCCCAGAGUCGCCUGUAAGUCCAGCAUUGCCUCUGAAUCCUUUACUCACACACUUUGGCAAAAAGAGAGGCAGAAAGAAAAAGAAAAAAGACAAACUUUCAUCCAAAGAACAAGACGUGUUCAGCACUAAAUAUUCUGACUCUGCAAGCCCUUCACCCUCACUCGAACAGCAUCAGGCACAGCUACGAUUAAAGCUCAAAGCCUCAGCCUGUGAGGCAGUCGAAGCUUCUUCCUCGUCUACGUGGUGUGGUGACGAUGUGGCUCAACGACCAUCUCGGUCAUCAGCGCGCACGUCUCGAGCCCUCAGCCGAGUUUCUCUCGAGGACGAAGACUCUACGCCGCCACUCACAGCCUCCACGUCUCCCUCUGAGUCGCCUUCACAUCUCAUGGUCAGGAUCAACAGAGGCGUUGAUCAAGACGAUGCACUGCAGUCGCCACCUUCCAAGCAUAAGAAAAAACAUAAGAAGCACAGCCGGUCUUCAGAUAAAAUGAAAGAUCCUGAUGCUAAAGUACCUUCACUUAAAAUCAAGUUUAAUGAGUCUGCGUCUGGCAACACGUUCCUUGAUGGUGGCGCUGAUGCAAAGUCCAGGCCUUCCAUUAAGAACCUUGUGUUAGGCAAUGACGAUGGCUCUAGGACAGAGCUCAGUGCAAGUGAAGUAUCGCCGUUCUUUGUGAGUGCUUGCAGUGCCAGUCCUCAGAACUCGGAAGUUUCCUCUUCAAUUCAAGAUUUGGGUAGCGGAGGAGAGCACCUUUCACCCGGGACGAUCACGUCGCCCAGAGCACUUGAACUUGGUGAUGAUUCCAAGCUAGGUUCAGAAAAGUUGUCUGAGCUUGAGACCGGUCAAAGUCAGUGGAGGAAAAGCAAGCGUCUCAUUGCCGAUCUCAGCGAGAAAGCCACACGACGCAUAUCUUCUCGAGGGCUGAACGUAGCGCCCGUUCCUGUUUGUCGCCAGGAGCAGCAGUCCCCUGAUACAUCCGAGCGAAGCAGCGGCAGCUCAAUAUCAGCUGACGAUCACAGUAGUGCUGUCCAGUCCUUCAAGUUGUCUGGAAACAAGGAUGUGGUACCAAAACGUUUUGAUGGACUGCGAGUACAGCUACAUCGCGACAGCAUUCCAGCGUCAUGCGAGGGCACGGUUAUUUUGGAGAAGAAGCCUGGCCCAAGUCAAGACGGCCGCUCUGAACAACGGCUUAAUGCACGUGGCCAAGAUUUGCGUAAUGCUCGUGAAGAGCAGGAUAAACGUGAGCUGGAAUUAAAACAAAAACGAGAACUAGCUUCGAAGGAGAAUCAUGAACGCUUUUCCAAAGAGAAGCUCGAACUUGAAUUACGAAAGGAGCAGGAGAAAGCAGCGCAGGAAAAGCUGUUAUGUGAGAAGCGUGAGCAGGACCUUGUGGAAAAGCGUCAACGUGAAGCUAGGGAAAGUCGUGAAAUUGAAUCAAAGAUAAAAUCAGAAGAAGAAGAGAGACGCAAGAAUGAGUUAAGAUUGAAGCAGGAACGUGAAAUGCAAGCUAAACGAGAGUUGGAGGAAAAAGAACGUCAGGACAAAGCGUUGCGAGAACAACGCGAGAAGAAACGAAAGGAGGAACUUGAGAAACAGCUUGCUGAGGAUGCUAGGAUUUGUCAGAAAACCUCUCCUGUUGAAUCAUUGUCUGUUGUUAAGAGCAUUAAAAAGCCCCGAAUAUCGCGCGCAAAAAAGCCUGCAAUGACAAUUGCAGCAGAAAGCGUUAGUGAACAAAAACUGCCACAGCCUCCGGUGUUGUGGCAAUCGCCUUCGCCUCAAGUUAUAGAGGGCAACCUGAAGCUUCAAAAGGAGGUACGGGUGCCUACGUCCGUGGACUUGAUAGUAUCACAAGUGACAUGUGGACUUACCGAAGAGUCUGCUCCUUUGUCCCUACAAACUCAGCUGCUGCAGCCUCUGAGCACAGCCGUAUGCGAGCCUACACCACACAGCCCAGCCAUCCAACGAAAUCCUUCUCGUCCUGUACUGCCCGUGAUCACAUCGCCUGACCACAGCAGCCUGGUGUCUCUGACGCCUGUACCUGAAUCAUCUUUGCAUGAAACUCCACUGCUGAAAAUCAGGACCAACCUCAUGGCCUCUGACCUCCCCUGUAGUCUGGCGUCUGAGGCGGCAGCUGCUGAAUCUCAUCCAGUCCCGUCGGUGACGCUGCCAGCAGAAAUAAAAAAGUCUAGUAACCCUUGCGUCCCGGAGGAGGAUCUUGCCUCUUUCUUAACUCCAUCCCCUGUGGUGAGCCCAAGAAGAAGUCAGGAAUGUCACAGGAAGAGCUUUGGAAGUCCAACAGCCGCGACAUCGGAAGAUCCACGUCUGGCCACUGAAGUGCAAGACGCCACCGAUUAUUUAGUUAAGGAGCUUCAAGAGCUUGACAGCUCCUACGGCCGGAGGAGACGUAGCUUGGAAGAAGCUCCCUCUCCUGAAUGCACGUCCACGAGUGUGUACACGACCAGUUUAACGAGCCCCUUGCAGUCCCCGCGUCUGUUGUCACCUGAGCGAUUCAUGUCUCCUCCUCCUCCUGCUGCUCCAAAGCUACCUAUUGAUGUUUCAAGCGGCACUGUAAACGUUACUUCAACAGAAGCAUCGUUGUCUGAUGCUACGUUGGUUCCUCAACUUCCCAGCGUUAACCUAGCAAGCAAUGCUAUUGUUGCUAGCGUGCCCGCUGUUUCAUCAGAAAAGGUCUCGGUAAAAGACAAGACAGCAAAUCCUAGCGGGCGAAGUACUACGCCUUGUCUUAGUUUACGGCCGAUCUCGAGUCUCCUUGCACCUUCAAGCGUUCUCACUCCUGUCGAGCUUACAGUACCAGUUUCAGGUGUUACCACCAGCACUGCGACUCCAUUUUCACAAGAUAAAUCUUAUCAAAAGACAGCUGAUCUCCCAAGCCAUUUUAUUGCUGUUACUGCAACAACGACAGUUUCUCCACAGUUGGUACCUGCACAAAUUUCUUGUUCACCCUCGUUACCUCCGGCACCUUCUGUUGCCAGGACUGUCGCUGCGGUCGAAUCCACUUCUGUUGUCGAAUCCAAGAAUCUAUCUUCAUCUGCUUCUGAGGAUUACAAAAAGACAUUCAAAGACACGAGCUUCAAGUUCCUUAAUUUAGAAAAUGUUCCUAUAGCUGAAUCUAUGGAUACUCUGAAAAAAUCUGUUGAAGACUCCACCGCUACUGUAGGGAGUCGUAAAAAUAUUGUGCCGUUGCAGGCAGAUAUUACAUCACUCGGUACAAAUUCGACGAAAAUUCACCCAGUCUUAGAAUCUCGUGAUGAAAAGCCUACCGUACUGUCAUCAAAUAAAAAGAUGAAUAUCACUUUGCCGUCUGAUGAUGUUAAUGUCACUCCGUUUGCAUCAGUUGGUAAUAAAUCUAACGAUGACAAAAAAGCUGCCAACUUGACAUUAGCGCUUCACUCAAAGGUUGAAGUAGCCGCCUCGUGCCCAACUGUUAGCGAAACUUUACUACCAGCGUCAGUUCCCGCAACUUCUGAAGCUAGUGUACCGGAAAUCACUGUUUCGGCUCCUAUUAAUUUGUCUGAAGAUAUGAUUUCCCGCAAACCAGCUGACGCUAGUCGUGAUCAUAAAAACAUAACAGCAUCUGAACCGCCGAGUGUGUCUAUAAUUCCGUCGAAAAAAAGGUCCAAAUCUGACGUUGAGCCGCAGUCUGAUGAUGCAAUCAACCCAACAGCUUUUGGCAAACCGACCGUAAUCACUGCCAUGCCCAGCGAUACAAAAACCUCUGAUAAUUCAAUGCAGCCCACACUCAGCCAGCCUAUAACUGCCAAGUCUCUCGUCGCCCUCACAGAAACGAAGGUGAUAAAAGAAGCUUCACGUUCAGAAAUUUACCGAAUAAAAUUGCCUGAAAAUCAAGAUUCUAAGCUCAGUUCUGGCGAAAGCGCCGAUUCAAAGGCGAAGAAGAGCUGCGUUGAAAAUGUUGUCCAAAUUGCCAGACCGAUUUCGCUGUCAACUAAAGAAGAGAAACAAUCUAGUAUCUUAGAUCCGCCUACCGUUGUGGCAAAGCAAACCAGUUGCAAGGAUGAGUCUACUCAAGAAAAAGUUGUCGUUUCCGGUUUGCAAGUGAAAAACUUGCAUAUUCAGUCCACCGUCCCCGGUGCUUCAGCGAGUUCAAGUGUUGUUCAAAAAAUGGUAACUGCCUUUUCAGUGGCCAAUCUUCUUCAAAAAUCAGAUCGAUUGCCUUAUACUCUUGGUUCUUCGACACAAAUCGCUGCUGUUCCAGCAAAAUCAUCGAUUUCAACCAUAGUUUCCACUUCGUCAGCGUCUGCCUCUUCAUCACGCACGUGGUCUUCUACUUCAAUCGUUCCUGAGGCUAAAGUCGUUUCAGGUGCAAAAACUCACAGCGAUAGCAAAGUAUCAUCAGCUGUUUUGCAAAGUUCGGCGUGUAUCGAGCCUAUUUCUUCAUCGCUUGCUGAAAAGCAGUCUAUAGCAUCCGCUUCUCCCGCAUCUUCUUUCUCCACAUCAAGCACCGUAACCUCGGUCGCGGCUCCAGUGCAAUCUACUCCAGACGAAACUAAUUCAACACAGGAGCUCCCGAUGCCUGUGUGCUCGAAGACAAUGACUGAAUACAACUCUUCAAAUUCUUCUCAAUUAUCUUCCACUGCACGGUUCACGGCCGCAUCGUUGACGACUGAAAUCAGAGAUACUGAGCCUGACAAAAAGCUUAUUAAUUCACAAAUAUCUGUUACUAAACCCAUCACUGUCCCUCACACCGGAACAAUUUUACCUGUCGCCUCUCAACUUUCUGAUAUCAAUGCACCCCAAACACAACUCAAAGCUUCUUCUCCAACUAGAGUGUCACUAGACGAGAAAACGUUGCAUCGCGCUUCUGAACUCGACUCUGACGCUCCAUCUGACACAAAACCGAGCAAAUCUAUACCAUCGUGUGCCCGGCCCGAUGAUGUUACGCAUACACUUUUGAAGCCUGAUGAAGCCACAUCUUCACAUACGCAGCCUUUAAAAACAACACCUAAUGUUGUUCAAGCUAAACCAGCCACAUCUCAACUCGUCUCUCCUGCUGCUUCAACGACAAAAACAUCACCUCCUGCCACAUCGGCUACUAUUAAACUAAAAGAUGUAGCCUCAAUCUUUACUUCUGGGACUAUAUCUUGUGAAAAAAUAAAGGAAGCAACAGCUGUUGUCACACAGCCUAAAUAUUCGCCACUUGCUAAAUGCGAUCUUACCCAAGAAUCCUCGGAGCAAUCGACGUUAGCAGUGCCCCGUCGCGUGCCAGAUGCAUUGCUUUCCUUGAAACUUGAUAACAAAGAACCUGCGACUUCUCAACGAUCAUUUAUAUCUACACCUUGCACACAAUCAGCCCCUGACAUGAAAAAUAACUUCCCUUCUGCACUCAGUACCAGCAUUGCACAACCUGCAGGUGACAAGAUACGUACCGAGCAAACUCCAACACCAAUGACGUCAGCUAAACUAAGCUGUAUCGUAACCUCACCCACCAGUUCAUCUGCCACGUGUAGCGCCACUUCAUCAUCUCCCACUGCAGUGCAACCUUUCUCAGUCUCUGACAUUCCUUUGCCUGCAUCAGUUCCGUCAAAUAUUUUCGCUCCCGUGGCUGUAUCAUCGAUCCCACUGCCUGCCAUUUCUUCAAUUCCUCUUCCAACGCCACCCGUUAAACCUGCACUGCCAACCCAUCCGAAAAUGACAUCAUUAGAGGCACUGAAGACCGCGUUCUCUGGUGCCCUGAGUGGAAAGACAUCCUGCUUUAUUUCGAAGAAAGAUGAAGCUGCUCCCGCGCUUAGUAAUAUUACUCCUACCAAAGAACCCACUACUCUUAAGGCAUUAGUUUCUACCGUUAGUCUAUCGUCGUUAUCGUUGCCUGAGUCUAGAGACAGUGUUAAUAAUUUAGUGAGUACGACAAAGAUCGACAAAUCUCCCUCUUCUGCUAGUUCAUCAUCGCCGGUGUCGUCAAGUGGUGACCUGAAGAGAGCCCGAGUGCCUUAUAGUAUGGUAAUAAGUAAGCCUGCCAGCAAGCUAGUAUUUAGUUCUGUGACCCAGUCUCAAAAACCCGUCUCCUCAGUACAAAGCCGUGCGUCAAGCACGACCACCAUCGUAGCCUCUCCUGCAUGUUCCCCAGCUGCUUGUCCUCGCAAGAGUCGCUGGGAUAUCAAAGGCGUCAAGGAAUCUUUGGUCCCUGAUGUUGGUAGUUCAACCUCCAAGUCUAUGUCAACCGAUGAUGCCCACAGUGUUGAAUCCCUCGGCAGUAAUCAAGGCUUCCUAGGCAUCAAAGCAGCUGAGACCGAGAGAACUGACAGCAGAUCUACCGAUAUGACUCGAUAUGUACCUGCACUUGCCACCGUUGACAGCAAGACCACCAGUAAUUACACCAAAGAAUUCACUAGCAAAGAAAAGCCGUCCGUGCUCUGCGACGAAGAAAAAGCGUCUGAGGAUGAACAACGGACAGAACCACAAAUGAAGGCUUGCUCUGAUGAGAACAAAAUUAAAAGCACUCAUGCAAUUGAGGAGGGAACGGCUGAGAAAGCCUCGUUAUCUGACACCAAACCCUCCUCGUCCAUCACCAACGCUCAGUCGUCAUCACCACCUUCAUCGUCCAUCGUCUCUGAUGGCCGUGACGUUCCGUCGUCAGACGAGGAAAGCGCGCUGUUGGAGAAUUUCAUCAACAUGGGCCGUACGAGCAGACGCCGAAGCUCAGCUACAUCUUCUAAUGCAGACUCUGAGAACGUCACCACCACCACAAGGCGUUCCUCGCGACACAACAAAGCUGCCUUGUCUCAAGUGUCUCCGAGCUCUGAACAUUCACCCAGUAAAAAAUGUGAGGAAGUGGAGCCGAAAGUGGAGAGUCUCGAUGCUUGUGAGACGGUCGCUCCUCCCGCAGACGUUGAGCCUGUCAAGAACGGGGAUAGAGAAGUGCUUGAUGAGAAGGCACCAGAGGCAAAGGUUGAAAAGACGUCUGAAGCAAAUGAUGCGGACGGUGAGGUCUCUGGAACAUCUGAGGCCCCAAAACCAGGCCGUGGUAGCAGAGCGGGGUCGCGGUCACGUAGUGCCGAGCCUGGAACGCCCGUACGGCGGUCGCGACGUCUGUCCCGCGGUGGUAGCGUGGAGCCCAGCGACGAUGAAUGUCAUGCCAACAACGCUGUGGCCACGGCAGGAGAGCUCGGUACCAUACCAGAGCAGGGCGAGUCGCCUGAGAAGAAGAUGAGCGUCGCUAGUGAACCAUUGGCUGUUAGAGCCAGUCCUCUUACUCAAAAUACUGAAGUGGAGGAAAAUACUGAGAUAGUUGAGGACCAAAAACCAGGUGAAACGGAUCUUGUACCCGAACAAGGAGAUUGCAGUGCUAAGGACGGCAAAGAAGAGGACCAGAUUACUACUGUCGAAGAGAGUGCUGUUGCUUCUGACGUAGAGCAACACGACGAUGGCGUAGUGGACGCUGUGAAGCUAACACUUGAGACUAGCGAGACUCUCGACAAGUUUGACGACAGCGACGAGGAUGAGAUGGCGCUUGCAGCUCCUGCAGCGGCCAAGAAGAGUCCAGAAAAAAAGCGUCAUAGCAGCAGGUCACCUCGCAAACGCCGUCGAUCUUCAUCGUCAUCGUCAUCUGGGUCGGAGAGACACGGCAGUCCACGCCAUCAGCGCCGUCGCGAGUCGUCUAAGGCGUCCAGAAACAACGACUCGUCUCCUAGAAAAUCUUCUGCUGGCGACAACCGUUCCUCGUCCACCGCAAAAUCUAGUCACACAGAAGUUGAUGGUUCAAAACGUUCCCUAAGCCCGGUCAAGAACGGCAACGUGCCUAGAAAGUCAACUUCAGAUUCUCAGAGCCAAUCGCCUGGAAGUGCUAAAAAGAAACACUCGACCAUUGUUCUCGAAGGCCUUGAAGUUGAAGGCAAAAAGUCGAGAGAUGAGCGUCGCUCUGAUGGACGCCAAAAUAAGAAGGAUGACAAGGAAGCUUCGAGGCGAAAAGAAGAAGAAGAAGAGGAGCCUGUUGAUGAUUUUGAUUACUCGUCUUUCAAAUCAACACGAAGAGUGUCACUGUCUAAGAAACUUCGAGACCCGGACAACGAAAAAGCCAAGUCUCUGCUGACUGCUGCCCCCAUAAGGUCUAGUGAACCAACUGUCGAACUCUCGUCUCAAAGCCUCAAGGGUCUGUUGCCUGACGUACAACCUAUCCCCGAGUCCGAGCUCAAACUCGAGGAGGAUAAAGAGGAAGAAGACCUUGAAGUACCUGAGGAUAAACGGAAGAGUCUUGGCGCCUUGUCUGACUCGGAGCUUAAAAAGAGGAAGCUUCUUCUUCAAAAGAAGUUGCAAGGGCUUGAAGAGAAAGAAAGACAGGGGAAGAAGCGAUCUUCAAAAGACGGUGAAAGGAAGUCGAAAGCUUCAGAGGUUGACGGCUAUGAAAAGAGUGAUGCUUAUUCUGAUCCUGAAGAAGAGGAACAAGCACUUAGGAAAGCCGCGCAAGAGUCCAUGCGCGCCAAGCUCGCCAAAAAGGAAGAGCUGGCAAGGCGCCUUUCCAAGGACGAUGAAACGCUGGAGAAAAAGAAAAUUAGGAAGGAGAGGGAAGUACGUGAAGGGUCUCCUCCAUCCAAAAAAUCCAAAGACGAUCGCGCAGUGCGAAUGGUUGAAGGUCCUGCUGUGGUGGUCCGCAAAACUCCAUCUAUUGCACCAGCCAGGAACCCAACGAGCUGCGUUGUCAUCAUCAAGAAUUUAACGCGUCCGUUCACGCUGCGACUGCUGCAAACGUUGUUGCAGCGCACUGGACGCAUCGUUCAGCCUGACGGUUUUUGGGUCAACAAUGUCAAGAGCGUUUGCAUUGCACGUUUCGAGAAUGAAGACCAAGCCGAAGAAACUCGCGCGCAUCUGCACGGCAUCCAGUGGCCCAGCUCCAACCCCAAGACUCUCUUUGUGGACUUCACUACGCAGGAGGAACUGGAGCGCCACCUCAAGGAGAGCGGGGCUCCAGUUCUGCCACAACCGCAUGAGCAACUCAGGAGGAAGACGACGACGACGAUGGUGCGCGAGUGGGACCGCGUGAAGCUGGGCGAGCGUUCACCAGGAGAGCGCGAGCGGGAGAAGGAGCUUCAGAAGCGACGACGCGAGGCGGAGGAGCAGGACAACGAGCUGCUCAAGAGGGAGCGGGCCGAGGGGCGGGGGCGAGCGAGGAGCGACGAGUGGGAAGACGGGCGCCAUGCGCACGACAGGGACAGGAAAAUCGCCAAGAAGGAAAGUGCUCCUCCCCCUCCUCCUGAAAAACCAGUUCCUAAAUCUCUCGAUGAUCUCUUCAAUAAAACCCAAGCGAAACCAAGCAUUUAUUGGCUUCCUCUUAAUAAGGAACAGAUUGCUGAGAAGGAAGCUCUGCGACGCAAGCUGAUGGCUGAAAAUGAGAAGCAACUUGCUGCGCUCAAAUUGAAGCAUGAGAAGGAGCGAGAGGAAAGGGAGAAGCAACGACAGGAGCGAGAGAAGCAGCGUGAGGCCGAGAAGAAGGAGCGAGCAGCAGCAGCAGCGGCGGCUGCGAAGAAGAAAAAGAAGAGCAGGAGCCGGUCGAGGUCCAGGAAGCGGUCGCCCAAGAGGUCCUCACGGUCCCGCCGUCGCAGUCGUUCCUGAGCAUCCGGGCAACGGCCCCUACUGCAGUGACAGUGCAACUAAAACUUGAUGAGCUAUGGGAGUUGGGUGUUGGCGCCCCCAAUAACCUGGUACGAAGCCUCGUCCAUGUCGUGCUCUCAUCGACCAUCAAGUGUUCGGAAUGUGACGGGCGUCUGCCGCAUUUCUACCAGAACUUCGAUGAACCUAAGGAUGGUGGAUGUUCGCAUUAUUUUCUUCUCGCUGAUACAGCUACUUCUCUCACCGUAGUUUGGCAUCGCUUCUAAAAUGACCUCGGUCUUUUUGGACUUAACAUUUUGCUCGUCCGUGCACCGAGAAGAGCUUAAUGACUGCCGCAACAGAAGAAGUCGUUCAAACUACCACCAAGAAACAACGAAUAAAUUCUGGUGGCAGCCGUGUUGUCAGUAAUCGCAAGUGCGGUGUAAACUUCGAAUUCGUGUUUGGAGUGUAAAAAGACAAAUAUUGAUUCGGCUAGUGCCAUGGGUGCAUUGUCUGACAAACGUACAACUUUGUUCAUUGUGGAACAUUUAUUAAGAUAAUAAGCGUUUAUUAGUACUCAAAAUAAAGUACAGAUAUGAUUGUG